UACGGAGGGUGCAAGCGUUAUCCGGAUUCACUGGGUUUAAAGGGUGCGUAGGUGGGUAGGUAAGUCAGUGGUGAAAUCCCCGAGCUUAACUUGGGAACUGCCGUUGAUACUAUCUAUCUUGAAUAUCGAGUAGGUAAGCGGAAUAUGUCAUGUAGCGGUGAAAUGCUUAGAUAUGACAUAGAACACCAAUUGCGAAGGCAGCUUACUUCAAGAUUAUUGACAUUGAGGCACGAAAGCGUGGGGAUCAAACAGG
rnacentral:rRNA from 1 species